rnacentral:rRNA from 1 species
UACGUAGGGUGCGAGCGUUGUCCGGAAUUACUGGGCGUAAAGAGCUCGUAGGUGGUUUGUCGCGUUGUUCGUGAAAACCGGGGGCUUAACCCUCGGCGUGCGGGCGAUACGGGCAGACUGGAGUACUGCAGGGGAGACUGGAAUUCCUGGUGUAGCGGUGGAAUGCGCAGAUAUCAGGAGGAACACCGGUGGCGAAGGCGGCUUCCUGGACCAGAACUGACGAUCAGGCACGAAAGCGUGGGGAGCAAACAGG